UAAGACCUGCGAAACUCUAAACGCAUCUUCUGAAUGCAACUCAAACACUUUACUUAAGCUAAAGCCUC
rnacentral:tRNA from 1 species